rnacentral:rRNA from 1 species
GUGUGCGAGUCAUUGGGUAUUUUGUUGAAACCUAAGGGCGUAAUUAAAAUAACUAUUUUAUGGGAUUACAAGUGAAUUAAAUUUCAUUUCUUCAUCCCGGGGCGUUCUAUACGAACAUGGUGCAAGCAAUUGAACCCUCUGUUCAAGAGCGUACCUUGAGCAUACAUGCUGUGACCCGAAAGAUGGUGAACUAUACCUGAUCAGAUCGAAGCCAGGAGAAAUUCUGGUGGAGGAUCGAAACAGUUCUGACGUGCAAAUCGAUUGUCAGAAUUGGGUAUAGGGGCGAAAGACCAAUCGAACCAUCUAGUAGCUGGUUCCCUCCGAAGUUUCCCUCAGGAUAGCUGGCGCAAAGAAUUAUAUUGUAUAUAAUCUUAUCUGGUAAAGCGAAUGAUUAGAGGCCUUGGGGCCGAAACGACCUCAACCUAUUCUCAAACUUUAAAUGGGUAAGAACCUCAUCUUUCUUGAUCUGAAGAUAUUGGGGUUUAGAUAUAUUGUGCCCAGUGGGCCACUUUUGGUAAGCAGAACUGGCGCUGUGGGAUGAACCAAACAUGAUGUUACGGCGCCUAAAUUAAUGACUCAUAUUGAUACCAUGAAAGGCGUUGGUUGCUUAAAACAGCAGGACGGUGGACAUGGAAGUCGUAAUCCGCUAAGGAGUGUGUAACAACUCACCUGCCGAAGCAACUAGCCCUUAAAAUGGAUGGCGCUCAAGUCAUAUGCCUAUACAUCAUCGCUAGAAUAAAAUUUGUUGACCAUUCGGUCAUCAAUAUGAAAUUCUAGUGAGUAGGAGGGUACAAUGGUGUGCGCAGAAGUGUUUGGCGUGAGCCUGCAUGAAGCCGCCAUUGGCACAGAUCUUGGUGGUAGUAGCAAAUAAUCGAAUGAGAUCUUGGAGGACUGAAGUGGAGAAGGGUUUCGUGUGAACAGUGGUUGAUCACGAGUUAGUCGGUCCUAAGCUUUAUGCGAAAGCUGUUUAAUUUAUGUUACACACAAUAUUUUUGUUGUACAUAAUUCAAUAAAAGCGAAAGGGAAUACGGUUCCAAUUCCGUAACCUGUUGAGUAUACGUUUGUUUAUUAAAAAUGGGUCUUAUUACACUCAUCCUGGCAACAGGAACGACCAUAGAGAAGCCUUCGAGAGAUACUGGAAGAGUUUUCUUUUCUGCUAAACAAACGUAUCACCAUGGAAGUCUUUUAUAGAGAGAUAUGGUGGAUGGCUUGGAAGAGCAUGACAUUUACUGUUGUGUCAGUAUUUUCUCCUUGGACCUUGAAAAUCUAUGGUGGGGCCACGCAAACUUCUCAACAGACCGUACCGAUAUCCGC